UACGGGGGAUGCAAGCGUUAUCCGGAAUCAUUGGGCGUAAAGCGCCUGUAGGUUGUUUAACAAGUCUGUUGUUAAAGACUAGGGCUUAACCCUAGAAAAGCAAUGGAAACUACUAGACUAGAGUAUGGCAGGGGUAGAGGGAAUUUCUAGUGUAGCGGUGAAAUGCGUAGAUAUUAGAAAGAACACCAGUGGCGAAAGCGCUCUACUGGACCAUUACUGACACUCAGAGGCGAAAGCUAGGGUAGCAAAAGGGAUUAGAUACCCCUGUAGUCCUAGCCGUAAACGAUGGAUACUAGAUGUUGUAAAUGUUUUACAGUAUCGUAGCUAACGCGUUAAGUAUCCCGCCUGGGGAGUACGCUCGGAAGGGUG
rnacentral:rRNA from 1 species